CACGUAGGGCGCAAGCGUUGUCCGGAAUUAUUGGGCGUAAAGAGCUCGUAGGCGGUCUGUUGCGUCCGCUGUGAAAACUCGGGGCUUAACCCCGAGCCUGCAGUGGAUACGGGCAGACUAGAGGUAGGUAGGGGAGAAUGGAAUUCCCGGUGUAGCGGUGAAAUGCGCAGAUAUCGGGAGGAACACCGGUGGCGAAGGCAGGUCUCUGGGCCGAUACUGACGCUGAGGAGCGAAAGCGUGGGUAGCAAACAGG
rnacentral:rRNA from 1 species